rnacentral:rRNA from 1 species
AGAUGUUGGGUUAAGUCCCGCAACGAGCGCAACCCUUGAUCUUAGUUGCCAGCAUUUAGUUGGGCACUCUAAGGUGACUGCCGGUGACAAACCGGAGGAAGGUGGGGAUGACGUCAAAUCAUCAUGCCCCUUAUGACCUGGGCUACACACGUGCUACAAUGGACAGAACAAAGGGCUGCGAGACCGCAAGGUUUAGCCAAUCCCAUAAAUCUGUUCUCAGUUCGGAUCGCAGUCUGCAACUCGACUGCGUGAAGCUGGAAUCGCUAGUAAUCGCGGAUCAGCAUGCCGCGGUGAAUACG